UACGUAGGUGGCAAGCGUUGUCCGGAAUUAUUGGGCGUAAAGCGCGCGCAGGCGGUUUCUUAAGUCUGAUGUGAAAGCCCACGGCUCAACUGUGGAGGGUCAUUGGAAACUGGGAGGCUUGAGUGCAGAAGAGGAGAGCGGAAUUCCACGUGUAGCGGUGAAAUGCGUAGAGAUGCGGAGGAACACCAGUGGCGAAGGCGGCUCUCUGGUCUGUAACUGACGCUGAGGCGCGAAAGCGUGGGUAGCGAACAGG
rnacentral:rRNA from 1 species